ACGAACGCUGGCGGCGUGCUUAACACAUGCAAGUCGAACGGAAAGGCCCCCACUUUUUUGGUGGGGGUGCUCGAGUGGCGAACGGGUGAGUAACACGUGGGUGAUCUGCCCUGUACUUCGGGAUAAGCUUGGGAAACUGGGUCUAAUACCGGAUAGGACCAUGGUUUAGUGUCUCAUGGUGGAAAAAUUAUUGUUUUGGUGCAGGAUGAGCUCGCGGCCUAUCAGCUUGUUGGUGGGGUAAUGGCCUACCAAGGCGUCGACGGGUAGCCGGCCUGAGAGGGUGGACGGCCAGAGUGGGACUGAGGUACGGCCCAGACUCCUACGCGAGGCAGCAGUGGGGAAUAGUGCACAAUGGGCGCAAGCCUGAUGCAGCGACGCCGCGUGGGGGAUGACGGCCUUCGGGUUGUAAACUCCUUUCGUUAGGGACGAAGCCGCACCUUUUUUGGGUGUGGUGACGGUACCUUUGUUAAGAAGCACCGGCUAACUACGUG
rnacentral:rRNA from 1 species